GACGAACGCUGGCGGCGUGCUUAACACAUGCAAGUCGAACGGAAAGGCCCUGCUUUUGUGGGGUGCUCGAGUGGCGAACGGGUGAGUAACACGUGAGUAACCUGCCCUUGACUUUGGGAUAACUUCAGGAAACUGGGGCUAAUACCGGAUAGGAGCUCCUGCUGCAUGGUGGGGGUUGGAAAGUUUCGGCGGUUGGGGAUGGACUCGCGGCUUAUCAGCUUGUUGGUGGGGUAGUGGCUUACCAAGGCUUUGACGGGUAGCCGGCCUGAGAGGGUGACCGGCACCAUGGGACUUGAGAUACGGCCAGACCUCUUCGGGGGGGAAGAGGUGGGGAAUAUUGCCAAAUGGGGGAAGCCCUGAUGAAGCAACGCGGGGUGCGGGAUGACGCCUUUGGGGUUGUAACCGGUUUUGGCUUGUGCCGAGGGGUGGGUGCCGGUAAUGGGAAAGGAGGAACCGCCUACUUCGUU
rnacentral:rRNA from 1 species